rnacentral:rRNA from 1 species
GGUCAAGCGAACAAGGGCGCAGGGCGAAUGCCUUGGCACUGGGAGCCGAUGAAAGACGUGAUAAGCUGCGAUAAGCUUCGGGGAGCUGCAAAUAAGCAUUGAUCCGGAGAUUUCUGAAUGAGGAAACUCACCUGGGUUCAUACUCAGGUACGUUAUACUGAACUUAAAAAUAGGUAUAUCGAGGGAACCGCCUGAACUGAAACAUCUAAGUAGGGCGAGGAAGAGACAUCAAACGAGAUUCCGUAAGUAGUGGCGAGCGAACGCGGAAGAGGGCAAACCGGGAGUAGAAAUACUCCCGGGGUACGGACUGCUUUUAGGACUUAAUCUGUUAACCGAACGGCAUGGGAAGGCCGGUCAGAGAGUGUGAGAACCACGUAGGUGAAAACGGAGAGAGCUGCGCAGGAUCCAGAGUACGGCCAGACACGUGAAACCUGGUCGGAAUACGGGGGGACCACCCUCCAACCCUAAAUACUACCCAGUGACCGAUAGCGUAUAGUACUGUGAAGGAAAGGUGAAAAGCACCCCGGGAGGGGAGUGAAAAAGAACCUGAAACCCUGUGCCUACAAGCACCUAGAGCACGUCAAUGUGUGAUAGGGUACUUUUUGUAGAACGGUCCGGCGAGCGAUUGUAUGCAGCAAGGUUAAGGACUUAAGGUCUGGAGCCGAAGCGAAAGCGAGUUUGAAAAGGGCGUUAAGUUGCAUACAAUGGGCCCGAAACCGGGUGACCUACCCAUGGUCAGGUUGAAGUGGAAGUAAAAUUCCAUGGAGGACCGAACCGACCUCCGUUGAAAAGGCGGCGGAUGAACUGUGGGUAGCGGAGAAAUUCCAAUCGAACCCGGAGAUAGCUGGUUCUCCCCGAAAUAGUUUUAGGACUAGCCUCAAGUUAGAUACCUGGAGGUAAAGCACUGAAUAGCCUAGCGGCCGAGAGGUUAGCGAAGCUUAUCAAACUCAGAAUGCCAGAGUAUUGAUGCUUGGGAGUCAGACAGUGUCAGAUAAAUGUCAUUGUCAAAAGGGAAACAGCCCAGAUCUACAGCUAAGGUCCCAAAGUCAGGUUAAGUGGAAAACGAUGUGAAGAUACGUAGACAACCAGGAUGUUGGCUCAGAAGCAGCCACACAUUCAAAGAGUGCGUAAUAGCUCACUGGUCGAGCGUCUUUGCGCGGAGAAUUUAACGGGGCUAAACCUGACACCGAAGCUUAGGCAAUACAGCAAUGUAUUGGGUAGGGGAGCGUUGUAUACGCGGUGAAACAGUAGCGCAAGCGGCUGUGGAGUGUAUAGAAGUGAGAAUGCCGGAAUGAGUAGCGCGAAUGCAGUGAGAAUCUGCAUGGCCGAAAGCCUCAGGUUUCUGGAGGAAGGUUCGUCCGCUCCAGGUUAGUCGGGAGCUAAGGUGAGGCCUAACGGCGUAGCCGAUGCACAGACGGUAGAGAUUCCGUCACCACCAAAAGAGUUAAACACAGGGACACAUUUGAAGUCUCGGAGCCGGGUGUUGGUUCCGGUAGCGAUCGAGGGAAGUUAGUACCGAAGUCCGGGAUGGAAGAUGGCGAGAAAAGCUGUGUGUAUUUCUGCGGUGCCCGUACCGCAAACCGACACAGGUAGGUAGGAAGAAGAUUCUAAGGCCAACGGGAGAAGGGUUGUUAAGGAACUCGGCAAAUUGACCCCGUAACUUCGGGAGAAGGGGUGCUCUAGAGAUAGAGCCGCAGAGAAUCGGCCCAAGCAACUGUUUACCAAAAACACAGGUUUGUGCUAAAUCGAAAGAUGACGUAUACGAGCUGACGCCUGCCCGGUGCUGGAAGGUUAAGAGGAGAUGUGCAAGCAUUGAAUCGAAGCCCCAGUGAACGGCGGCCGUAACUAUAACGGUCCUAAGGUAGCGAAAUUCCUUGUCAGGUAAGUUCUGACCCGCAUGAAAGGCGUAAUGAUUUGGGCACUGUCUCGACAGCCCGCCCGGCGAAAUUGUAGUACCGGUGAAGAUGCCGGUUACCCGCGACAAGACGGAAAGACCCCAUGGAGCUUUACUGUAGCCUAAUAUUGGGUUUCGAUGUUGCAUGCACAGGAUAGAUGGGACACAGGGAAACAAGUGCUUUGGCAUUUGUGGAGUGGCCGUUGGGAUACCAUCCUUGCGAUAUUGGAAUUCUAACCUGCGCCUUUGAAUCAAGGCGGGGGACAUUGUUAGGUGGGCAGUUUGACUGGGGCGGUCGCCUCCUAAAGAGUAACGGAGGCGUUCAAAGGUUCGCUCAGCUUGAACGGAAAUCAAGCAAAAGAGUGCAAACGCAGAAGCGAGCCUAACUGCGAGACUGACGGGUCGAGCAGUAACGAAAGUUGGAGUUAGUGAUCCGGUGGUAUGUGAGUGGAAAUGCCAUCGCUCAACGGAUAAAAGUUACCCUGGGGAUAACAGGCUGAUCUCCCCCAAGAGUCCACAUCGACGGGGAGGUUUGGCACCUCGAUGUCGGCUCAUCGCAUCCUGGGGCUGUAUUCGGUCCCAAGGGUUUGGCUGUUCGCCAAUUAAAGCGGUACGCGAGCUGGGUUCAGAACGUCGUGAGACAGUUCGGUCCCUAUCUGUCGUGGGCGCAGGAUAUUUGAUGGGAGCUGUUCCUAGUACGAGAGGACCGGAGCGGACGUACCUCUGGCGCACCAGUUGUUCUGCCAAGGGCAUAGCUGGGCAACUAUGUACGGAUCGGAUAAACGCUGAAAGCAUCUAAGCGUGAAGCCGACCCAAAGAUAAGAUAUCCCAUUGUUUCAAACAAGUAAGACCCCUUGAAGACUACAAGGUUGAUAGGCACGAUGUGUAAGUGGAGCGAUCCAUUCAGCAAGCGUGUACUAAUAGGUCGAGGGCUUGACCAC